GAUGAACGCUGGCGGCGUGCUUAACACAUGCAAGUCGAACGAUGAAGCUGGAACUUGCUCUGGUGGAUUAGUGGCGAACGGGUGAGUAACACGUGAGCAACCUGCCCCUGACUCUGGGAUAACAGCCGGAAACGGCUGCUAAUACCGGAUAUGCACCAUGAACGCAUGUUCUGUGGUGGGAAAGAUUUUUCGGUUGGGGAUGGGCUCGCGGCCUAUCAGCUUGUUGGUGAGGUAAUGGCUCACCAAGGCGUCGACGGGUAGCCGGCCUGAGAGGGUGACCGGCCACACUGGGACUGAGACACGGCCCAGACUCCUACGGGAGGCAGCAGUGGGGAAUAUUGCACAAUGGGCGAAAGCCUGAUGCAGCAACGCCGCGUGAGGGAUGACGGCCUUCGGGUUGUAAACCUCUUUUAGCAGGGAAGAAGCGAGAGUGACGGUACCUGCAGAAAAAGCGCCGGCUAACUACGUG
rnacentral:rRNA from 1 species